rnacentral:rRNA from 1 species
AUUGAACGCUGGCGGCAUGCCUUACACAUGCAAGUCGAACGGCAGCACGGACUUCGGUCUGGUGGCGAGUGGCGAACGGGUGAGUAAUACAUCGGAACGUGCCUAGUAGUGGGGGAUAACUACUCGAAAGAGUGGCUAAUACCGCAUGAGAUCUAUGGAUGAAAGCAGGGGACCUUAGGGCCUUGUGCUACUGGAGCGGCCGAUGGCAGAUUAGGUAGUUGGUGGGAUAAAAGCUUACCAAGCCGACGAUCUGUAGCUGGUCUGAGAGGACGAUCAGCCACACUGGGACUGAGACACGGCCCAGACUCCUACGGGAGGCAGCAGUGGGGAAUUUUGGACAAUGGGCGCAAGCCUGAUCCAGCAAUGCCGCGUGCAGGAUGAAGGCCUUCG